UAGCAUACCCUAUUCACCUGCGAAUUUUUUCUGAGAAAUUUAAAACGAAAAGUAUUAAAUCUUGUACUAUAUCAUCCUGCAGAAAUCUGAGUCUCGCGGCUAGUCUUCCAUUUCCUUCCACCGGGGUGCCAUUUCCGUCAAUUAACAGCCGAUUGGCACCGCCGAACCUCGUUUUCCUGCGCAUGUUUCACCUCACUGUUUUGCUGUUGUGUUUUUAUGGUGACUGGGUGUUGUGAAUAAUGGUUUGUUCUCUAUCAGGUAGAUUAUCAACUAAGUUGUUAAACAUAUCAAUUGUUUCUUUCUGCAAAGCGAAGAAAUUGGCGAAAGCUGAAGGGAUUUUAGUUGACGGUAUAAGAUUGGGAAUACUCCCUGAUGUUGUAACUUAUAACACGUUGAUUGAUGCUUAUUGUCACUUUGUUAGUGUAGAUGCAGCUUAUUCUAUUCUUAACCGAAUGAGGGACGCAGGAAUUAGCCCUGAUGUUAUUACUUAUAACUCUUUGAUUGCUGGUGCGGCCAGGAAGUGCCUAUUAUCCCGUUCAUUGGAUCUGUUUGAUGAAAUGCUUCGAAUGGGUAUACCUCCUGAUGCAUGGAGUUACAACUCAUUGAUGCAUUGCUUCUUUAAAUUAGGUAAACCAGAGGAAGCCAAUAGGAUGUUUCGAGAUAUUUUACUCAGUGAUUUGGCUCCCAGUGCAGCUACAUUUAACAUCAUGAUUAAUGGACUUUGCAAGAAUGGCUAUACAAAUAAUGCCAUGAUGUUAUUUAGGAAUUUACAGAGGCAUGGAUUUGUUCCUCAGAUAAUUACUUAUAAUAUUCUUAUAAAUGGGCUUUGCAAGGCGGGGCGAUUGAAGGAAGCAAGGAGGAUUCUGAAGGAGCUUGGGGAAUCAGGUCAUUUUCCAAAUGCUAUAACGUACUCUACAGUUAUGAAAUGCUGCUUUCGAUCGAAGAAUUUUGAUCAAGGUUUUGAGAUAUUGUCAGAAAUGAAGAGUAAAGGAUUUACAUUCGACGGAUUUGGUUACUGUACAGUGAUUGCUGCAUUACUUAAGUCAGGUAGGAUAGAAACAGCAACUGAGUGUAUGAAGGAGAUGGUUAGCAAUGGUAUUCAGCUUGAUAUUGUUUCUUAUAACACCCUAAUUAAUUUAUAUUGUAAAGAAGGUAACUUAGAAGCUGCCUAUAUGUUACUGGAUGAGAUGGAGAGAAGAGGUUUGGAUUGUGACAGUUAUACCCACACUAUUAUGAUUGAUGGGUUGUGUAAGGCACGCAAUAUCAAGGGUGCCCAGCAACAUUUAGCUUACAUGAAUACGAUGGGCUUUGAUUCUAACUUGGUGGCCUACAACUGUGUGGUUGAUGGAUUGUUCAAAGUUGGUCAGAUUGAUAAUGCAGUGAAAAUGUUUGAAUCGAUGGAGAUAAAGGAUUCAUUUACUUACACUUCAGUGGUGUACAACCUUUGCAAGGCUGGUCGGUUUCAUAGUGCAUCCAAGCUAUUAUUAAUUUGUUUGAGAAGUGGCAUGAAAAUUCUGAAGUCUGCUCAACGAGCUGUCCUUGAUGGUCUUCGUUAUUUUGGAUAUACAGCAGAGGCUAAGAAGCUUCGGUCCAAAAUUCAUAAGGCCCGAAGACUACACCAUUGAGUUGGAUAUGAUUUUUACAUCACAUUAUGGAAGUUGGUUUUUUCUUCCAAGGUUGAUCUAUACAAAGAUCCAACACCAUGUACAUCUGCUCUAUUGUUCUUUAUUAACGUCUUUUGUUUGAGCCAAAAAUGCUUACUGAAUCAAUAUGCAUCAGUUAUGUAACAGUGGAUGUUACUUUGCUCAGAAAGCUGUUUGUCUUACUUCCCAAAAUUUGGACAAUCUCCAAGAAAUUGUAUGGUACAUUGGUUAAUAUUAUUGUAAACCCUCUGUAAACAAACCUCAAUUUAUUUGACCACUACUGAUGAGGAAUUCUUUAGAGGUUCUAUUUCUGGUGCGUGUAUUGAUUAUUUUCUGACCAGAGAAGCUUCCGAAAAAGUUCUAUCUUUUUCGUCAUAUAAUUUUUCCUUGAAAAACAAAAUGCUUGGCAGAGCUGUACAUGCUUUAUAAUAUGUGAUUCUCUGAAGAUUAUAUGGUAUAUUCAUCAAUAUGAUUGAAUAUCUGUUGAUCAUAGGCCAUUUACCUUUGCACCAGCUGCAAGCUUUAGGGGUAGCUGCUAUGGGAAGUAACUUCCACGUGUGAGGGGGUUUUCCGGACUGUAAAGUUGUAUGGAGAGCCAGAGAUGCUAAGCAGGGAUGAUCUUGGUUCCAAAGAUGGAAAAUUGUAUCAGUGGAAACUCAAAUUUUACCCAUAUGAUUCCAGAAAUGCUACUUCUGUUGGUUGAUUAUAGGCAAGGAAUGUUCAAUCUAACUGUAAGUGCUAUCAUCGUGAAAGUUUAAUCAGAUAAUAACUUAUCACUCUAAUGCAGCUAUUGAAUGCCAUGACAACAAUUUGAUUAUUGAACUUGGGUGACUUACCUUUA